CCGCUCAUUCACAACCGUCGGAUCGCCCGAUUGGUUAAGCAGGAGCAAUAAAUAACGCCCACCACGCCUUUUCCAACGCUCACGCCCAUUCGUUUCUCUCCUCACCUUGUCUCUCUCUCUCUCUCUCUCUCUCUCUCUCUCUCUCUCCCCUUCAUUUUCCUUAGAUCUACUCUUCGUCAUCUCUCUUCUCUGAAUUAUAUCUUCGAAUCGAGAUUCAUCGAUCGACGAUCUACGUUUCGAUUAUGAAUUCGGGCGAUUCCGUCGAGCGACUCGUUCUCGAUCGUCCUUCCAGAAGUUCACGGUGCACGACGCUGGUAUCCUUUGGCCAUGUCUUCAGAUCGGUGUAUCUGUUGCCGAAUCUGGAAGAUCCAUUGAGGUCUCGAUGUCUGAUGAGGAAUCGUGUUUCGACUUGGAACUUCCAUAUGGCUGGAAACCUGGAUGCGUUGACAGAAACUUCCAAUGUUUAAUUAAUUGAGAUCUGGUGCUGUUUGAUUGGUGCAAUUAAUGAAGAUCUGCUUCUGUUCUCCUUCUGAUUCCGUUGUUUAAUUAAUGGAGAUCUGGUGCUGUUUGAUCGAUAAUUAAUGGAGAUCUGCUUGUGUUCUCCUUCUGAAAGGAUUGUUGACGGCUUGCGGAAAACAAAUGAAGGCCUACAAAGGGUUUUCUGGAUGCCAACUUAUUGUUGUGCUUUACUAUGGUGAUGUUUUUCUAUCAUGCUCCAAGCAUACAUUAAUUCUGUAAGUAAAGUAGUUUGUAUGGGCGUGUGGAAAGUAGUGUGAAAAAAUUGAGAUGUGAGUUACAAAAUGGAUGUCACCUGACCUUUGCCAUGUCAGGUGCGCUUGCAUGGCAGGUCAACAAGUACCUAAUAAAAUUAUCUUUUUUGUGUUUUGGAGGGAGAUGGCACGGGGUUUUGCCCGGCUCUCCCUCCUGGGUGUCCUGUGUCGUUCGUGGUUUAUUUCUCCAUUAUCCUAUUCCCAAGCAGUUGUUCUUGGGUUGUCUUCAUUGCCUCUAGAAUGGUUUAUUCUAAAUCAUUUUGAGGCCAUGUGACACCCACCUGCCAAAUUUAUGCAUAGAGCAAGCAAACGCAAGGAUGGGAAGCAUGGUGACUACUCAUUCAAAGAGGUACAAACGACAUAUGCCUUUCAGUUUAUUUUGGCACUUGCUUUUUUGACUUGCUGAUAUAAACUACAUCACAUAAAUUAUAUUAUUAUUAACAUGAAAACUUACUGAAUAUAUUUUGUAAGUUUCAUACACUUUAGACGUCUGAGUUAACAUGGAUUCUUCAAAAUGAAUAAAGCACCUUACACAUGUUGAUAUAGUAGUUGGACUUUAACCCAACAAACAUGUUUUUCUGAUUCCUAUUUUUCAAGAGCUGAAUGUAGUACUAAGACAAUCAGGAAUCACCAAUUUACGGUAUACAAGAUGUAAACUUCCUAUGUAGCAAGGAUACUUGGUUGGGGUUCACGUACCCGUGUUGAGACUAGGGACGCUUGUUGGACUUGGAGUCCACACUCAAAACCAAAGUCUAUAUAUAUUUUUAUCAGAGUUUAUUGUUUGGACACAAUUGGGAUACUAAAAAUGCUCCAAGACACCCUCGAGGAACUUGAUAAGUCAGGGUGUUAACCGUAAUAGUGGACUAUAAUUGACUUGGUCAAGUCUUAUUUUUCAUGUGGGGGGAGAUGUUUUAUUGACUAUGAAGACAUAUUAAUGAUGGAAUGCUUUUUAAAAUGUAUUAGUUAGUCUUAACUUUCAUAUAAACAAAUUCGAUUGGAUUUUUUGACAACAUGUUUUACAUUAAUUAGUAUUAUAUUUUUUAAAAUGUGCCCCAACUUGUCAUUCCUUUAGUUUUUUAAAAAUAUAUGCAAGUGAUGUGUCUUUGUCGGAGCUACAUAGGAAAUGUGUGUUGAUAUUCAUAAAUAUUCUGGUGUGUUCCCAUUUCCUCGAAAUUCUAUUCAAACGCACCCCCAUCAGAUGUCUGCACAUGCUCAACCAUGUACAAGUUCAUGCAACAUACCACUCCAUUACACAAAUUUCGGGCUCCUCAUAUACUGCACAUUGUGUUGGGGGGCCAUGUUAUGUGAGUCUGUUCAAGUGUUUAAAAUGUGUAUAAGUAGCACUGUCGAAAUAAUUUGCACUCAUUAUAAAACUUAUUCAGCAACAUGACACGAAUCACUACGUUUUUGUAACUCAUUCUCCGAUUAUUCAAAAUAAAUAUAUAGAUAGGUACUUGAACCAAUGAGGUAAUGACUCAACUUGAUUCUGUAAUGAUCUUGUUUGAACGUUCAUAUUCAUGUGAAACUUGAGCAUUAUAAUCUUGGAUGCUCAUAACCAUACGGUUGAGUUACUUGAUCCCAAUCCAUUCUCCAAUAAUAGCACAAUAAAGAAUCCAAUCUGACCAUCUGUUUAGUUUAUCAUAUUGAUUGCAAUUAUGUGGUACAUAUCAAAGCAUACAUUAACCGAAGAGAGAUGAUAGUUUACUUGACUUUCAAUUGGAGGUAUCUUUUUUGUUCCUGUGAAAUCUGAUCUUCUAUGUUGUAUAGUGCUUUUAUUGGUUCGGAUGUGUAAGAGUUGGUUGCUUCAGUUGUUAUUGUCCACUAGAUCAUGUAUAAGAUAUGGUUCUAUAUUUGUAACCGUUCUGAGUUGUGGCUUUGGGCCUUUGGAGCAUCGGCUUUGGUGUGGAUGAGAGCGCAGGGCUUUUCUUCCUCAUGGGUACUUGUAUACUGGAUUCAAAUUGUCUCUCUUGUAACCUGGUAUAGGAGGUGAAGCUCAAGGUUUACGUGGAGCUGUCUGUCUUGUUAUUCAGUUGUAGCUGUGGAUUCGCGGGCUUUGAUGUAGUACUUGGAGUAAGUCUGAGUGGAGAUCUCUAUAUGCUUCAGUUGGUGUUAUUGCGUGGUGUGCUUUUGCUGAGCGGAGACUACAUUGCUCAACGGAUUGCUGUAAUCUUGGUGCUGUUGGUGGUCAGGAACUACUAUUUCUCUAUACCUCACUGUGCUCUCACUAUGCUAUUGUCAAAAAAAUGACCUUUGCCAUGUCAGGUGCGCUUGCAUGGCAGGUCAAAAAAUAACUAAUAGAAUGUUCCUUUGUUGUUUGAGGGAGAUGGCAUGGGGUUUUGCCCGGCUCUCCCUUCUGUGUCCUGUGUCUCUUUUAUUGUUCCUGUCAUUUAUUUCUCCUAUAUUCUACCUUUGGUUGUUACGGUUUCAUAGUUUGGCAUCUUCCUUUGCCCCUCAAAUGGUUCAUUUUGAGGCAAAUGUGAUACCCAAUCUAUGUAUUGAGCAAGCAAACACAAGGAUGGCAUUAACACCAUGACUACUCACUCCCAAGAGGUACAAACAACAAUGCCUUUGAAUUUGUUUAGCCAUUAUGCAUUUCCUGAAUAUUUUCUGAAGAAUUUAUCUCAUUAAGCUGGCUGGAAGUCAUAUCUGAAUAUUUCCUCAAUAUUUUCAAAUUGCUGGUUCUUCCUGUGUUCUCAAAAUUUGGCAGAAGUUAAAUAUUUUGCAAAUCAGAAAUUUUUUGGUGUUGAUUAAUGAUUUAUAAGAUUGAAUUGCUUCAAUUGUUAAGCAAAUAUAGUCGCAUGUAUUUCAGCUGUUCAAACAUGUGACCUGCCUUGGGGGCAUGGGAUUUGCCUAGUUGUACUGGUUGCAGGUCUUGGCCCUCAUUGGUGGUUGUAAAUUUGGUUUGAAGUGUAUUUCUUGUAAUAUUCUAUGGGCGGUGAAGCUGAAGGUGCUGUGGCGUCUCGAUUGCUCUUUCCAAUCUCAUGUUUAGGUCCGUGGCUUUGAUUCAGCGCAUUAUCUGAGUGGUGUGCCGUUGGCUGACAUGGCGACGAUUGGCGUAUUGGAUACUGUGCUUGGAGAUUUGGUUGGAUAGAAGGGCGUGAAAAAAUGAAUCAAAGGUGGGAAUCCAGGAUCGAAGUGCGUCAAGAUCAAAGGCAUAGGAUGUCCUAUGAUUGUCAGCUGACCUUAGCCAUGUUAGUUCUUCACGGGGAAUCAACAUCUCGCUGUUGUAUGGUUCGCUUCACAUCUUUUCGAGGUAUUUAUGACGUAUGCGAGGAUAAUCUUGGCAAUGACCAAGCUAAUGUGGAAUUAGCCCAUCAUUAUCCACUCCAAGAGGUGGGGAAUCUCACGAUUUUUAGUGGAGGCUACAUUGGCUUUGUUUUGCUGUCACUCUGGUGAGUUCAUGGACUCUGAUUCAACCCAGCAUCUUGUUGGAGAUCCUGAUUCUUCUAUGGAAGUUGUAUAUCGAUGCAGAUGGUGAAGGCUUGAAGCAUUGUUGCUGUAUUCUAUUUCCCUCUCAAUUCCUGGUGAUAUCUGAUUCUUUCUGGUUCUGGUUCUUUCCUCGUCUAGCUAGUUGUGUUAGACUUGAAAGUCUCCAAAUGCAUCGCUUUCGUCCUGUUUUUUAGUUCUGUUCUGAAGUUUUUUCUUUGUUGACGUGUCGGAUGCUUUAGUUUCCAUGCCGUUUCUUUUGUAACUCACCACAUGGAAAUUUCAUAGUAGAUUCAUGAGAGUAUUAACAACUGGAAUAUAUUGUCCUAGUGUGAUGGAGCAAAGCUACUUUGCCCCCGAAUGCAACGAUGGCAGUAGUGCGUGAUGGUCACUUUGGGAUAGUUGCAGUUGGCAUAUUGUUAUUUACAGAGUUGCAAGCAUCAUGCGUUUGAGGCUGGAGUUGCAUUGGAGUUUAGAGUUUUGAGAUAGAGACAAUAUUAUGGGCAUGUAUUGUCACCUGGUUGCCAGGUACUAAAAUUUCCGUAAACGUAAAUUGGCGGUUGUGGCCUAUUCGGUCAUGUUAUAGUCUUUUUGCUGCUUAUAUUGAG